ensembl:lncRNA
AAAAAAAACGGGAUUAAAAAACUCAUCUACUGUAACAUAAACGGGAUAAAAACUCAUCUACUGUAACAUAAACGGGAUAAAACUCAUCUACUGUAACAUAAACGGGAUAAAAACUCAUCUACUGUAACUAAACGGGAUAAAACACAUCUACUGUAACAUAAACGGGAUAAAAACUCAUCUACUGUAACAUAAACGGGAUAAAACUCAUCUACUGUAACAUAAACGGGAUAAAACUCAUCUACUGUACAUAAACGGGAUAAAACUCAUCUACUGUAACAUAAACGGGCCAAAAACUCAUCUACUGUAACAUAAACGGAUAAACACAUCUACUGUAACAUAAACGGGCCAAAAACACAUCUACUGUAACAUAAACGGGAUAAAACUCAUCUACUGUAACAUAAACGGGAUAAAAACUCAUCUACUGUAACAUAAACGGGAUAAAACUCAUCUACUGUAACAUAAACGGGAUAAAACACAUCUACUGUAACAUAAACGGGAUAAAAACUCAUCUACUGUAACAUAAACGGGAUAAAAACUCAUCUACUGUAACAUAAACGGGAUAAUAAAACUCAUUUACUGUAACAAAGACGGGGCCGAAUCAUCUACUGUAACAUAAACGGGAUAAAAACUCAUCUACUGUAACAU